UGCAAAAAAACCCACACUUUUGAAGACAUGGUGUAAGCAACGCCAUCUGUAAAGUUCGACCCAUCUCAUCAUUUCUAACAUGUCCAAGUCAAUUCCACACAAUAUAUUCAAUCACUUCCCACUUUACGUAUCAAUUUCAUGAGAUAUGUACUGUCUUAAUUCAACAUCUAAACUAAGUUCUUUAAUUUAUAAUUCACAAUUCCUUUCAAUUUGGUACAACUUCCAACACAAAUGGGUCAAAUAACAACGUACUGAUACGGCCAAAAAAAUAGAAAUCUGUUAUGACAAUAUAUGAAAAUUUCUCAACAUAACAUUAACCACCAUGUGGUGCACUUGUCGUCUUUUUGAACCAUUGCUACAGUUCAACUAACAUUUUUGGUGCAAUGUAGUAACAAACAACAGUUAUAAGCUACCAAGUUUAUC
rnacentral:lncRNA from 1 species